rnacentral:rRNA from 1 species
GACGAACGCUGGCGGCGUGCCUAAUACAUGCAAGUCGAGCGAAUGGAUUAAGAGCUUGCUCUUAUGAAGUUAGCGGCGGACGGGUGAGUAACACGUGGGUAACCUGCCCAUAAGACUGGGAUAACUCCGGGAAACCGGGGCUAAUACCGGAUAACAUUUUGAACCGCAUGGUUCGAAAUUGAAAGGCGGCUUCGGCUGUCACUUAUGGAUGGACCCGCGUCGCAUUAGCUAGUUGGUGAGGUAACGGCUCACCAAGGCAACGAUGCGUAGCCGACCUGGGAGGGGGAUCGGCCACACUGGGACUGGGACACGGCCCAGACUCCUACGGGAGGCGGCAGUAGGGAAUCUUCCGCAAUGGACGAAAGUCUGACGGAGCAACGCCGCGUGAGUGAUGAAGGCUUUCGGGUCGUAAAACUCUGUUGUUAGGGAAGAACAAGUGCUAGUUGAAUAAGCUGGCACCUUGACGGUACCUAACCAGAAAGCCACGGCUAACUACGUGCCAGCCGCCGCGGUAA